AUCUAUGGCUAUGCUACCCUGAAUGUGCCCGAUCCUGUCUGAUUUCGGAAGCUAAGCAGGGUCAGGCCAGGUUAGUACUUGGAUGGGAGAAAUAUGAGCAACAAUGAAAC
rnacentral:rRNA from 1 species